AAAUUUAUUCAAAUUUUGGAUUUUCUUGGAUUUACUCAAAUCUUUGAUUUAAUAAUCCCCCUUCUAUGCUCUAAUUCUCUUGAAGUCAAUUAUUUUUUCCACAUGGCACACAUUAACAUGUAUAAUGUAGUCAUGUCAGAGAAGUUUCCUAAGAUAAUACUAAUUUUUUUUAUCAUAAAUAUAACACACAAAUGUCAAAAUGAUCAAAAUAUUUUAUUAAAAAUGUAAAUAUACAUGUAUACUCAUAUAUGUCUCCGUGAGUUUGGGAGAUGAAGUUUAUGAUUUUUUAAAAUAAAUAAAUAUUUAAAAUUUAAAUUAUUAUUUUUUAAAUAGUUUUAAACAGUUUUCAGAUUUUUUUAAAAAAAAAAUUGAAAAGGAAAAAUUUAUAACAAGUUCAAAUUCAGAAAUGCAUUAUUAAUAAUUUUUAAUUAUUUAUCUAAAUAAUUAAUUAUGUUUAUAUUUAUAUGUAUAUAAUGAAACUUAUUUUAGUCUUUUUUGUGGGUUCUUUUGGUAAAACAAUAAUUAUUUUAGUGUCUUUGAGGUAAUUAUCCUUUGUGUCACUUGUUCCGAAUGGUAACAUCGGGUAGAGUGGUGCGAGACAAACGUAUUAGAUACUGCAGUAUGGUUUAGCUGCGGUUUGUAUAAGAGAAACGCAAGCUGCGGAACAAUUGCGGUUCGUCAAAGAAAGCGGUUAAAAACUAGAGAAAUUUCCUAGGAUAACAUUUUUUAAAUUUUUCUCACAAAAAUAGCUUUCAAUAAAAAAAAAAAGAUCAAAAUAAGUUUUAUUAAAAGGUGAAAAUGUACUUUUACCCUAUGAUUAACUAAUCUAAGGGCCGAGUUUUGGGGAUAGAGUUUCAAAUAAAAAAAAAAAAUUUUAAAAAAUUUAAAAAUAAAAAAAAAGACUAUUUUGAUUAUUUUUUUUCUUGAAAGCUAUUUUGUGAAAAAAACUUGAAAAUGACUAUUCUAGAAAAUUGUCCUAAAAACUAUGAAUAUAUACAAGUUUUUACAAAAAAAGAACGAUGAAAUAUACAAUAAAUAGGUAACUGCUGGAUACAUUGUAAAUUAUUUGCAAAUGUUGGAAAAUUGUAAAAACAAAAUGAAAACUCAUAUGACAGGAAAGAAGGAUAACGAAAGGGAAAAUAAAUAUUCUGUUUCUAACCUCCGAUCUCCUCAUUGCUUCCUCUUUCUCCUUCUUAGCCUCUCGCUUCCUAAUUGCUUCAAGGCAAAGACUCUCGCAUCGCUUCAUUAAUAUAAUAUUCGUCAGGGAAGCAGAAGAGGAAUCUUAUGGAGCGAACGAGCAACGGAGGAAUGUUGUACCACGAGGUUCAGGAAGCUAAUCUUUGCGCCGUUCACUGCGUCAACACCGUCCUCCAGGGACCCUUCUUCUCCGAGUUUGAUUUGGCCGCCGUCGCUUCCGAUCUCGACGAGAAGGAGCGUCAGGUCAUGCUCGAAGGCGCCGCCGCCGCCGAUUUCUUCUCGGAGGAGUCUCACAAUGUCUCCCUCGGCGGCGAUUUCAGUAUCCAGGUCUUGCAGAAGGCUUUGGAAGUGUGGGAUUUACAAGUGAUUCCACUCAACUGUCCCGAUGCAGAGCCUGCGCAGAUCGACCCCGAGCUUGAGAACGCCUUCAUCUGCCACUUGCAUGACCAUUGGUUUUGCAUAAGGAAAGUGAGCGGCGAAUGGUAUAACUUCGACAGCCUCCUCGCUGCACCCCAACACCUAUCGAAGUUCUACCUUUCUGCGUUUCUUGACUCUCUGAAAGGCUCGGGAUGGAGUAUCUUCAUAGUGAAAGGAAGCUUCCCUCGGGAGUGUCCCAUGUCGUCUUCUUCUGAGGCUUCCAACGGUUUUGGACAGUGGCUUUGUCCUGAAGACGCAGAGAGAAUACUAAAGGAGACAAGCUCGACGCAGAGUUCUUCUUCUUCUUCUGCUGUAAACAACAGAAGUAGUGACAAUGUUGAUCAGCAAAGACCGUAUCAGGCGUUGUCGCGUGAGGAAGUGAGGACUUUUUCAGAGAUGGAAGAUGAUGAUUUGAAGGCAGCGAUUGCAGCGAGUUUGUUAGAUGCUUCUGCGGCUGGGGCUAAUCUUGGAGCUGUUGGGAUUACUUCUCAGAGGGAGGAAACUGAGAAACAAAAGUAGCAGAGAAAACAGAGUACAAUGCUGUAUUGAUGAAGAGUGAAAUACAAAUAUCUUGGUAACAGUUGAGAUCUGAGAAAAUCUGAAUCCAAGGUUGCUGAUCGUUCUUCUCAAAUGGGUUCUUCUUUGGAAAAGUUGUUCAACAGAUAGAGGACUUGUACAUGAGAGUCUGGGAGGUGGCAAUGUUUCAGAUGUGAUGCUGUGGAGGAAGAAGAAUAUGAGUGUUGGUAUAGUGACGGUAACAAUAGGAUCAUGGAUGGUGUUUGAGACAUUUUCUUACACCAUCCUCACUCUUCUUUCAAGUGUUCUUCUCCUCUUGCUCUCUAUUCUCUUCCUCUGGUCCAAAUCUGCAUCUAUCCUCAACAGGCCAUUACCGCCACCAUUUCCGGAGUUUCAUAUAACUGAAGCAAUGGCUAAAGAAGCGUCCAAGUUGUUACGCAUCCAUUUGAAUAAACUGUUUCAAGUCUCGCAUGACAUUGCAAUGGGAAGAGACUCAGAGUUGUUUAUCAAAGUAGCCAUCUCUCUGUUUCUCAUCUCAUUCAUCGGAAGCCUCAUGGAUUUUCAAACACUUUGCCAUACCGGGGUUUAGUGGUUAUUGACAGUUCCUACUUUCUAUGAGAGAUACGAGGUUUACAUAGAUAUAUCACUAUUGCUCAUCUACAACAGAGCUAAAGAGCUUUACCUUAGGUUCCAGAUAUGGGCUCAUCCGGAAAAUGAGAAACUAAGCUGAAACUCUCAUGUAAAUAUUGAUAUAUGUUUGAAUGGUACAGCCAAAAUAUGAGCUACCCACAGAAAUUUUAUUUCAAAGUUUUACUCUGUUCCAAGAACAGUGUUAGAUGAAGUUCUGGACGAUGCUAGUCCUCUCUCGACCACCGAAGUUAAGAAGAAAACAUUGGUGCUCUUA